rnacentral:rRNA from 1 species
AGAGAGAGACAUGCGCGCAUAUCAAUAAGCGGAGGAAAAGAAACUAACUAGGAUUCCCUUAGUAACGGCGAGUGAAGCGGGAAGAGCUCAAAUUUGAAAUCUUCAAGGUUUUACCUUGACGAAUUGUAGUUUAAAGAAGUGUUUUCUGCUGGAGUUUUGGUAAAAGUUCUUUGGAAUAGGACAUCAUAGAGGGUGAGAAUCCCGUAUUUGACCAUUAUCUUCAGCUUUGUGAUACACUUUCAAAGAGUCGGAUUGUUUGGGAAUGCAGUCCAAAAUGGGUGGUAAAUUUCAUCUAAAGCUAAAUAUUGGCGAGAGACCGAUAGCGAACAAGUACCGUGAGGGAAAGAUGAAAAGAACUUUGAAAAGAGAGUUAAACAGUACGUGAAAUUGUCAAAAGGGAAGCGUUUGACACCAGUGUUGUUUUCUCGAAAAUCAAUUAAAAAUGGCUCGAUUUUGUAUUGCUGAGACCUUAAAAGCUCACUGUACAUUUUUCGUGUCUUUUUUAAUGCACUUUUCGUUUAACAAGUCAACAUCAGUUUCUUUUGUUGUAAAAGGGUCAUUGGAAGGUGGCUUUCUUUUCGGAGAAAGUGUUUAUAGCCUUUGGCCUCUGCAAUCGGAGAGACUGAGGUCUGCAGCGUAGACUCUUCGGGGUUAGAUACAUUUGUGCUAAGUUAUAGCCUUUUCAUAGACAACUUGUUGACUAUAAUCAGUCAUGUAGCUUACUCGCUUAUGCUAUUUUACCUACGCUUAGGAUGUUGAAGAUGUAGCACAUCAU